rnacentral:rRNA from 1 species
AGUUUGAUCCUGGCUCAGGAUGAACGCUAGCGGCAGGCCUAACACAUGCAAGUCGAGGGGCAGCGGGGUAGCAAUACUGCCGGCGACCGGCGCACGGGUGCGUAACGCGUAUGCAACCUACCUUUAACAGGGAGAUAGCCCCGAGAAAUCGGGAUUAAUACCCCAUAGUAUUUUAGAUUGGCAUCAAUUUAGAAUUAAAGCUCCGGCGGUUAAAGAUGGGCAUGCGUGACAUUAGUUAGUUGGUGAGGUAACGGCUCACCAAGACAUCGAUGUCUAGGGGUUCUGAGAGGAUGAUCCCCCACACUGGUACUGAGACACGGGCCAGACUCCUACGGGAGGCAGCAGUGAGGAAUAUUGGUCAAUGGGCGGAAGCCUGAACCAGCCAUGCCGCGUGCAGGAUACGGCUCUAUGAGUCUUAAACUGCUUUUAAUUGAGAAGAAUAUUAGAUAUGUAUAUUUAAUUGACGGUAUCAGUUGAAUAAGCAACGGCUAACUCCGUGCCAGCAGCCGCGGUAAUACGGAGGUUGCAAGCGUUAUCCGGAUUUAUUAGGUUUAAAGGGUGCGUAGGCUGGCAAUUAAGUCAGUGGUGAAAAUUUUUGGCUCAACCAAAGACCUGCCAUUGAUACUGAUAGUCUUGAAUUUAGUUGAGGUAGGCGGAAUGUGUAGUGUAGCGGUGAAAUGCUUAGAUAUUACAUGGAAUACCAAUUGCGAAGGCAGGUUACUAACAAGUUAUUGACGCUGAUGGAUGAAAGCGUGGGGAGCGAACAGGAUUAGAUACCCUGGUAGUCC